rnacentral:rRNA from 1 species
AGUGAACGCUGGCGGUAGGCCUAACACAUGCAAGUCGAACGGCAGCACAGUAAGAGCUUGCUCUUACGGGUGGCGAGUGGCGGACGGGUGAGGAAUACAUCGGAAUCUACUUUUUCGUGGGGGAUAACGUAGGGAAACUUACGCUAAUACCGCAUACGACCUACGGGUGAAAGCAGGGGAUCUUCGGACCUUGCGCGAUUGAAUGAGCCGAUGUCGGAUUAGCUAGUUGGCGGGGUAAAGGCCCACCAAGGCGACGAUCCGUAGCUGGUCUGAGAGGAUGAUCGGCACCCUUGGAACGGGAACGCGGUCCAGCCCCCACCGGGGGGAACGAGGGGGGAAUUUUGGGAAAGGGGCGCAAGCCUGAUCCAGCCAUCCCGGGGGGGGGAAGAGGGCCUUGGGGUGUGAAAGCCCUUUUUUUGGGAAAAAAAAGCAGCAGGUUAAUACCCCGCUGUUUGGCCGGAACCCAAAAAAUAAGCCCGGGUAAACUUCGG